CAGACUCGCUGCAGUGAGACGUAGAACACCUGAGGGUGAGCUGUUUGCCCGGAGAAGUGGCGUGGAGGGAGGAGCCAGGUGAGUCCUGCGUGACUCUAAUUGCCUGCGCCAGUGUCUGAGUGGACAAAGCGAAGAUGCGCCGGCUCGUGGGGCUCUGUGCCGAAGGAGACAUGGGCCGCCUGGCCUGCGGAUUUUAACCUGUUCUGGUCUCUCUACUUUCAUCUUCGUCACCCUUUUUUUAGGUUCGAACUCGCUUGUAGGCCGGUGCCUACGGUAAAGCAUGUUUGAGGCCCCAGCACCAGACCCCCCCACAGAAACCAAAUGAAGAACGGCUGCUUCAGGUUAUCACUAGGGGCGCAGGGACCUCCUCGGCCCCCGGCUGCCUCAGUGGUCUCCCUCCGUGACUGGAGCCCUCCUCGGCCAGGUCCUCCGCCCCACGGGACCCAGAGGCCAAGACAGCGGGCCCUGGGGUCGGAGGCAGCACAUGGUGCCCGCACGGGCAGGAACAUUCGGCAGGAGAUUUGGGAGCACAAUAGAUAGAUCGGCGGGCAGCUCCUAUGCACCCUUUGAGGUCCAGACUCCUCAGGCCGCCACCGACCUGCUUUCCAGAGCUCCGGGUCAGUGCAUUUUCCUCACUCGAUGAGGGGCACAGUUACGCGGGCGCUCUUCUUGCCCGGCUUUUCAGUCUGCGUGAUGAUUUUGAGAUUCACCCUAUGACGGUGUUGAGAUGCAUUCCUCCGCCACAUAGUAACUGGUGACUUUCGGGAAAUUGCUUAGCUUUUCUGCGCCUCGGAGAGUAAACAAUAAAUAAUUCCUACUUGCAUUGUUGGGAAGAUAAAACGAGUCAAUGUACGUAAAUAAAACAGCUCAGUUCCUGGCACUGACUUGGUGCUCGAUAAAUAGCAGUUAUUUCGAAUGCACUUUGGGUAGGAAUUCAGGACCAGGACGGCCAGUGGACAGGAAGAAGCCUGUUUACACUAAUUUGGCUCGCGGCUCACGUUUUGCUACUCGUUGAUCGUUUGUUAUGUGUCCCUUACGCCAGCCCGAUCAGGAGCUUGCUCCUCAUGAGGACCAGGGACGGAAGGGUGCCGCUGGAAAGCCCUGCCCGUUCGGAGUUACCCUGGUGGAAAAAACUAAGCCCCACCAGGCUGCUCGGAAAACGGAAAAGGUGCAUUUCUCCUUCACCCUCGCCGCCUUCAGGCCCAGCUGGCCGGGUUUGCACGAACGUGGAGGGACAGCUGCCUGCCUGGGGCUGGGGCUGGGCCAGAGGAGCUGGCGAGGUUCUGAGGAGCCGCUGGGGAGCCCUGGGCGUCUGCUGCGCACAGGGCCGCGGACCUGCGCGGCCCAGGCUGUGUCUGCCGCUGUCACCCGAUGCCGCCGAGAGGGAACUGCUUUUGCUGAGCUGAAGAAGAAAGGUCUGAGCGAAAAAGAACUCGCAAAGAGAACAGGACAGGAGCAGCGAGGAGGGAGGGCGAGAGGGCCUUGCGGAUUGCCACGGCUCCAGGUCCAGCUGGAAAACGCAAGGAAGCGCAAGGCCUUCGAGAAAUAGAAAAAAUUCCUUUGAAAUUAAGAGAGAGCCUGAAUAACCAAAACAUCUUGAACAAAAAGAUGGAAGCAUCAUACUACAUGAUUUCAAACUCUACCACAAAGCUACAGUAAUCGAAAAAGCUUGGUGCUAGCAUAAAAUAGACACAUAGCCCAGUGGAACAGAGCGGAGAGGCCGGGAAUACGCACACACAUUCCACCAACCGAAUUUUGACAAAGAUGAUGAGAGUGCGAGAUGAGGAAAGGAGCGGUGCUGAGAAGACUAGAUAGCCACAUGCAGAAG
ensembl:lncRNA